UUAUAUUUCACUACGAUACAUUACGAAGAAUACUUUAGAAUAUUUUGCAAAAGUGUUUAAACAAAGUGUACUAGAAAAAAAUAUGUACGAAUCUAACCUAACAAAUAAGUAAAAUAUUAAAAACAAGAUGUAAAAUAUAACUCGAAACGCUUGAAACACAUUAGAACUCUUAAUAAGAAAUUGCAAAGUGAUAUUUAAAAAAGCCAAAGAUAAAUAAUAAUUAUGUUAUUAUUAUGAUAGUAAAAGAAUGUAAAGGAACGUAACAACUCGAAACAGAUAGUUGUACGUGUAAAGAAGACGACGACUGUUCUCGUCGAAACCGGUUUUGCAAUUGUUGAAUAAUCAAAGUGCAAGAUGUACCUAUAUGUGCUUCCAGAGUGCGAAAACUAGAUUCACGUACAGGUGUCUAUUAUGUAUUCGGAAAAGUGUUAUUAUUAAAUGUGAUCGACUGAAGAAAUUAGCGAAAGUGAUAUAAAGUAAUUUCUCUGAAACAUGUGUUUGUAAAUUUUGUUUAGACUUGCUGUUUAAUCGCGGGUCACAGUUCAUUGUUGAAGCGUUUCAUCCUCCUUCGAAGAGUUUUCAGCAAAUAAUACAGUUCUAAAGGAAUAAAGGACUACGAGCCGUGACAGGGUAAUUUCACAAGAUGGCUAAGAUUUUUAUCUUAAUUGCGUUUCUGCCGCACUUACUAUGUACCAUAAUACAGAGAAGAAAUUUGUGUUCGGAAUACUUCGCAAUUGCAUUCAACCCUGAGACAGGCAAGAUAUUUGGACGGAUCGAAGUCUUUGCUCAACCAGAAAAUGACGAAAUGUUUUUUUUAAAAGUAGCCUUAAAUGCUUCCGUUGAUUCUAUGGUAAGUAUAUAGUUUUUAACGUUUUUAAGAAUGCAUUAAUACAGGAAAAUUCUAAUAAAUUUUAACACCUUGCACAUAAACUUUUUAAAAAUAAAUUUUUCGAACAAGAAUCAUACAGUUUCUGUAAAUAAUGCCGUAAAAUAAUUGAACAAUUUUUAACCUUAAGGAAGA